rnacentral:sRNA from 1 species
UGUAGCUCCUAUCGUACACUUUGUUCUUAUACCGAAGACUAAAGACAGUACUUUUUUUCAUACAACAUUUGUCCUGGAGAUGUGAAUGAACUUUAUGCUUUGCCGUUUUCAUGAUGAACUAUACUGAACUUUAUGUCUUCAGGAUGAACUGUGAUGAACUAUAUAGUGCCAUAGUAUGAACUCUGUGGUAUGAAGAUAAAAGGAACCUUGUGUCAUGAAGAUAAAAAUGAACAUUGUGCCAGGAAUGUCAGAAAGAUGAACUAUUGACAGUGAAUUAUUUUAUGUUUGUUGUCUUCCCCAUUUGUCUAUUGUAAAGACUUAGACUGUUUUUAGAAAAAAAAUAUUUCAUUUUUUUUUUAAGGAAAGGGGGGAGGAACUGUUAGAUAGCUAGUUUAGUUAGUUGGGUUGCUCACUUUGUUAGACCGACAGUGAACGUAUAUUUUAUAGUGACGACAUAGACUUUGGGUUAGAGAUUAGGAUAGACUUAGAAUUAAUCAGUUACCGCUAGAUUCUCAAGGGGAUAACAUCGUUCUAUAGUGACAGACUAGACUGUGGCCCAUUCUGUAAUAAACGUUUGUUUGAAGUUCA